rnacentral:rRNA from 1 species
AUUGAACGCUGGCGGCAUGCCUUACACAUGCAAGUCGAACGGCAGCGGGGGAGAAGCUUGCUUUUCCUACCGGCGAGUGGCGAACGGGUGAGUAAUACAUCGGAACGUGCCCUGUAGUGGGGGAUAACUAGUCGAAAGAUUAGCUAAUACCGCAUACGACCUGAGGGUGAAAGUGGGGGACCGCAAGGCCUCAUGCUAUAGGAGCGGCCGAUGGCUGAUUAGCUAGUUGGUGGGGUAAAGGCCUACCAAGGCGACGAUCAGUAGCUGGUCUGGGAGGACGAUCAGCCACACUGGGACUGAGACACGGCCCAGACUCCUACGGGAGGCAGCAGUGGGGAAUUUUGGACAAUGGGCGAAAGCCUGAUCCAGCAAUGCCGCGUGUGUGAAGAAGGCCUUCGGGUUGUAAAGCACUUUUGUCCGGAAAGAAAUGGCUCUGGUCAAUACCUGGGGUCGAUGACGGUACCGGAAGAAUAAGGACCGGCUAACUACGUGCCAGCAGCCGCAGUAA